rnacentral:rRNA from 1 species
UACGUAGGGGGCAAGCGUUGUCCGGAUUUAUUGGGCGUAAAGAGCGUGUAGGCGGCUAGAUAGGUCCGUUGUGAAAACUCGAGGCUCAACCUCGAGACGUCGAUGGAAACCAUCUGGCUAGAGUCCGGAAGAGGAGAGUGGAAUUCCUGGUGUAGCGGUGAAAUGCGCAGAUAUCGGGAGGAACACCUAUGGCGAAGGCAGCUCGCUGGGACGUUACUGACGCUGAGACGCGAAAGCGUGGGGAGCAAACAGG